AUGGCAAGAUACUGGUGGAGUAGCUCGAUUGACAAGCGUUCUCUGCACUGGAUAUCUUGGAAGAAACUUGCAGCACCCAAGUGUAAUGGAGGUAUGGGUUUCCGUGACCUACAUCUCUUCAACUUGGCCCUACUCGGCAAACAGGGAUGGCGGCUGUUGACAAGCCCGGACUCGCUGUGUGCUCGAGUUCUAAAGGGCAGGUAUUUCCCGGACUCGGAUUUCAUGCAUGCUUCAGCUCCUAAACGUUCAUCUGCUACUUGGAGGGCCAUUAUAGCUGGUCGGGAG
rnacentral:rRNA from 1 species